rnacentral:rRNA from 1 species
UACGUAGGGGGCUAGCGUUGUCCGGAAUCAUUGGGCGUAAAGAGCGUGUAGGCGGCUCGGUAAGUCCGCUCUGAAAGCCCAGGGCUCAACCCUGGGAGGCGGGUGGAUACUACGGAACUGGAGUACGGAAGAGGAGAUUGGAAUUCCUGGUGUAGCGGUGAAAUGCGCAGAUAUCAGGAGGAACACCGAUGGCGAAGGCAGGUCUCUGGGCUGUAACUGACGCUGAGGAGCGAAAGCAUGGGGAGCGAACAGG